rnacentral:rRNA from 1 species
GCCGGGGCUUCUUCUUCGGCUACCGUCAUUAUCUUCACCGAUGAAAGAGUUUUACAACCCUAAGGCCUUCUUCACUCACGCGGCAUGGCUGCAUCAGGCUUGCGCCCAUUGUGCAAUAUUCCCC